rnacentral:rRNA from 1 species
CACGUAGGGUGCGAGCGUUUGUCCGGAAUUAUUGGGCGUAAAGAGCUCGUAGGCGGUGUGUCGCGUCGGCCGUGAAAACCUGCAGCUUAACUGUGGGCUUGCGGUCGAUACGGGCAUCACUGGAGUUCGGCAGGGGAGACUGGAAUUCCUGGUGUAGCGGUGAAAUGCGCAGAUAUCAGGAGGAACACCGGUGGCGAAGGCGGGUCUCUGGGCCGUAACUGACGCUGAGGAGCGAAAGCAUGGGGAGCGAACAGG